CUACCAUGCAGUCGAGCGGUAGCACAGGGGAGCUUGCUCUCUGGGUGACGAGCGGCGGACGGGUGAGUAAUGUCUGGGAAACUGCCUGAUGGAGGGGGAUAACUACUGGAAACGGUAGCUAAUACCGCAUAACGUCGCAAGACCAAAGAGGGGGACCUUCGGGCCUCUUGCCAUCAGAUGUGCCCAGAUGGGAUUAGCUAGUAGGUGGGGUAAUGGCUCACCUAGGCGACGAUCCCUAGCUGGUCUGAGAGGAUGACCAGCCACACUGGAACUGAGACACGGUCCAGACUCCUACGGGAGGCAGCAGUGGGGAAUAUUGCACAAUGGGCGCAAGCCUGAUGCAGCCAUGCCGCGUGUGUGAAGAAGGCCUUCGGGUUGUAAAGCACUUUCAGCGAGGAGGAAGGUGGUGAACUUAAUACGUUCAUCAAUUGACGUUACUCGCAGAAGAAGCACCGGCUAACUCCGUGCCAGCAGCCGCGGUAAUACGGAGGGUGCAAGCGUUAAUCGGAAUUACUGGGCGUAAAGCGCACGCAGGCGGUUUGUUAAGUCAGAUGUGAAAUCCCCGGGCUCAACCUGGGAACUGCAUUUGAAACUGGCAAGCUAGAGUCUCGUAGAGAGGGGUAGAAUUCCAGGUGUAGCGGUGAAAUGCGUAGAGAUCUGGAGGAAUACCGGUGGCGAAGGCGGCCCCCUGGACGAAGACUGACGCUCAGGUGCGAAAGCGUGGGGAGCAAACAGGAUUA
rnacentral:rRNA from 1 species